rnacentral:rRNA from 1 species
GACGAACGCUGGCGGCGUGCUUAACCCAUGCAAGUCGAACGGAAAGGCCCUGCUUUUGUGGGGUGCUCGAGUGGCGACAGGCUGACUAACACGUGAGCAACCUGCCCUUGACUCUGGGAUAACUUCAGGAAACCGGGGCUAAUACCGGAUAGGCGCUCAUGCUGCAUGGUGGGGGUUGGAACGUUUCGGCGGUCGGGGCUCCACUCGACUCCCCUCAGCCUCUUGGCGGGGUACUGGCUUACCAAGGCUUUGACGGGUAGGCGGCCUGACAGGGUGACAGGCCACAUGGCAGCUGAGAGACGUGACGGACUGCUCAGUGAGGCAGCAGUGGGGAAUAUUGCACACUGGGCGGAAUGCUUGUGCGUCAAGACAGCGUGCGGGAUGACGGCCUUCGGAGUGUAAAGCGCAGGCGCCUGUGACGAAGCGUGAGUGGCGGUAAUGGAGAAAGAAGCACCGGCUAACUACGUG